rnacentral:tRNA from 1 species
GCGGCGGUAGCUCAGCCUGGUAGAGCGCCGUCCUUCCAAGUCGGAGGUCGCGGGUUCGAGUCCCGUCCGCCGCUCCA